UCUCAAUCUGUAGGUUUUCAUUGUGUCAUGUUGACAGUGUCCUUUGCCUUACAGAAGAUUUUCAGUUUCAUGGUAUCCAAUUUGUCAAUCACUGAUCUUAGAGCCUGAGCCAGUGGUGGUCUGUUGAGGGGAUUUGCUUCUUUGCCAAUGUGUUUGAGGCUAUUUCCCACAUUCUCUUCUAGUAGAUCCAGUAUAUCUCAUUUUAUGUGGAGGGUCCUUGGUCCAGUUGGACUUGAGCUUCAUACAAGCUGAUGGAUAUGGAUCAGUUGCAUUCUUUGAUAAGCGGACUGCCAGGAUGCAUUGACCUUUCAUGAUGUGCAUAUACACUUCACUCGGGAGGAGUGGUCCUUGCUGGAUCUGUCUCAGAAGAGACUUUACAAAGAUGUGGUGCCGGAGAUCUACAGGAACCUCACUGCUAUAGGCUACAAUUGGGAAGACCAUAUCAUUGAAGAACAUUGUCAGAGUGAUAGAAGAUAUGGAAUGUAAUCUUUUGUGAAACCUGAUUCUAAUGUUCUCCUGAAGAAUAUUUAAUUUGUUCUCUAAGUUUUAAGGAGCAGCAACAGCUUGCAUAUUCACCUCUUUAGCUUAGUUGUUGACUAUUAAAUUCUCACAAAGCCAGGUACUUCGAUGCUGGCAGCUGAUAUGUUACUGAAAGACAUUCCUCUAUCACAGUAUUGCUUACAGAUAUAACUAUUUGAACCAUAUCACUAUUAGAUCUACACUGUAGCACUGCCAUUCCAUGUACUUCCACACCACUCAGAUAUUGCAAAGUGUACACACACUGAAUAGGUUUUAUGUGUGUGUGUGUUAAAACUGCUGUUAGUCAUAUGCUUGUCUUAAAUUUGCUAAGUUAUUGAGAGGGGAAGUUUAUGUGAGUAAAGAAUGUUGCAGUGGACAAGUCCCUUCUGGUCCACCUCAGCACUAGGGUUCCUUUCCCCUGGAGUCUCCAAACAACUGCAAGGACCCCCACAGGAUCCCCCACGGGAUCUUAAGACCUGUGGUGAGUGGAACAUAACUUCUGCCAGGAGGCAGGUUCCAACACCAGAUAUCUGGGCACCUUCCCUGCAAGAGGAGAGCUUGCCUGCAGAGAGUACUCUGACCACAGAAACUAAGGAGAGAUCUAGUCUCCCAGUUCUGCUGAUAGAGGCUAACAUAAUCACCUGAGGAACAAGCUCUAACCAGAGACAACUAUAACAACUAGCUCCAGAGAUUACCAGAUGGUGAAAGGCAAACGUAAGAAUCCUUCUAACAGAAAUCAAAAGCACUCACCAUCAUCAGAACCCAGCACUCCCACCCCACCUAGUCCUGGGCACCCCAACACAACCAAAAAGCUAGACCUGGAUUUAAAAACAUAUCUCAUGAUGAUGGUAGAGGACAUCAAGAAGGACUUUAAUAACUCACUUAAAGAAAUACAGGAGAACACAGCUAAAGGGGUAGAAGACCUUAAAGAGGAAACACAAAAAUCCCUUAAAGAACUGCAGGAAAACACGACCAAACAGGUGAUGGAAUUGAAUAAAACCAUCCAAGACCUAAAAAGGGAAGUAGACACAAUAAAGAAAACCCAAAGUGAGGCAAUGCUGGAGAUAGAAACCCUAGGAAAGAAAUCUGGAACGAUAGACGCGAGCAUCAGCAACAGAACACAAGAGAUGGAAGAGAGAAUCUCAGGUGCAGAAGAUUCCAUAGAGAACAUCGGCACAACAAUCAAAGAAAAUACAAAACGCAAAAAGAUGCUAAUUCAAAACAUCCAGGAAAUCCAGGACACAAUGAGAAGACCAAACCCAUGGAUAAUAGGAGUUGAUGAGAAUGAAGAUUUUCAACUUAAAGGGCAGCAAAUAUCUUCAACAAAAUUAUAGAAGAAAACUCCCAAACCUAAAGAAUGACAUGCCCAUGAACAUACAAGAAGCCUACAGAACUCCAAAUAGAUUGGACCACAAACGAAAUUCCUCCCGACACAUAAUAACCAGAACAACAAAUGCACUAAAUAAAGAGAGAAUAUUAAAAGUAGUAAGGGAGAAAGGUCAAGUAACAUAUAAAGGCAGGCCUAUCAGAAUUACACCAGACUUUUCACCAGAGACUAUGAAAGCCAGAAGAGCCUGGACAGAUGUUAUACAGACACUAAGAGAACACAAAUGCCAGCCCAGUCUACUAUACCCAGCCAAACUCUCAAUUACCAUAGAUGCAGAAACCAAAGUAUUCCACGACAAAACCAAAUUCACACAUUAUUUUUCCAUGAAUCCAGCCCUACAAAGGAUAAUAACAGAAAAAAAAAUCCAAUACAAGGACGGAAAUCAACCCUAGAAAAAGCAAAAAGUAAUCCCUCAACAAACCAAAAAGAAAACAGCCACAAGAACAGAAUGCCAACUCUAACAAAAAAAAUAAAAGGAAGCAACAAUUACUUUUCCUUAAUAUCUCUUAAUAUCACUGGACUGAAUGCCCCAAUAAAAAGACAUGGACUAACAGACUGGCUACACAAAGAGGACCCAACAUUCUGCUGCUUACAGGAAACCCAUCUCAGGGAAAAAGACAGACACUACCUCAGAGUGAAAGGCUGGAAAACAAUUUUCCAAGCAAAUGGUCUGAUGAAACAAGCUGGUGUAGUCAUUCUAAUAUAGAAAAAAAUUGACUUCCAACCCAAAGUUAUCAAAAAAGACAAGGAGGGACACUUCAUACUCAUCAUAGGUAAAAUCCUCCAAGAGGAACUAUCAAUUCUGAAUAUCUAUGCUCCAAAUGCAAGGGCAGCCACAUUCAUUAAAGACACUUUAGUAAAGCUCAAAACACACAUUGCAUGUCACACAAUAAUAGUGGGAGACUUCAACACACCACUUUCAUCAAUGGACAGAUCAUGGAAACAGAAACUAAACAGGGACACAGUGACACUAACAGAAGUGAUGAAACAAAUGGACUUAACAGAUAUCUACAGAACAUUUUAUCCUAAAACAAAAGGAUAUACCUUUGUCUCAGCACCUCACGGUACCUUCUCCAAAUUGACCAUAUAAUUGGUCGCAAAACAGGCCUCAACAGAUACAAAAAUAUUGAAAUCGUCCC